rnacentral:tRNA from 1 species
GUUGAGGUUAGCCUAGUGGACAUGGCAUCUGCCCGGUAGGCAGAAUACUUUGGGUUUGAUUCCCAUCCCUGGACA